UCAAUCUAAAAAAAGAAACACACAGACUGGAGGGAGGGGUGAUGACCUGGACUGUAUACAUUUUUGUUUAUUGUUUGCUUUUGAAGUCGAGUUUUUCAAGUGAGUUUAUAGAUAUAUAAGUAAUAUCAUUGUCUCGAUGGAUUCUUGAAAAAGAAAAAGCUUCCUGGAAUAGACUGGUGAGGCGUUCGGGAUAAAGACUUUACCAGGGGGGAAAAAAUCUGCCCAGGCCAGCCCGGACUCUAUCUGACUGUGGCAACCCCGAAUGACCCACGGCAUGUGUGUGCGUGUGUGUGUCUGUGUGUGUGUGUAAGUGUGUGUGAGGGAGUGAUUUUGGAGCUCCUGACAGUGUUGGCGAGAAGCUCGUAACCCAGAACAAUAAAGUACUUCUCCUCCA